CCUACGGGGGGCAGCAGUGGGGAAUAUUGGACAAUGGGCGCAAGCCUGAUCCAGCAAUGCCGCGUGAGUGAUGAAGGCCUUAGGGUUGUAAAGCUCUUUUACCAGGGAUGCAGUACCUGGAGAAUAAGCUCCGGCUAACUCCGUGCCAGCAGCCGCGGUAAUACGGAGGGAGCUAGCGUUGUUCGGAAUUACUGGGCGUAAAGCGCACGUAGGCGGUUAUUCAAGUCAGAGGUGAAAGCCCGGGGCUCAACCCCGGAACUGCCUUUGAAACUAGAUGACUGGAAUCUUGGAGAGGUCAGUGGAAUUCCGAGUGUAGAGGUGAAAUUCGUAGAUAUUCGGAAGAACACCAGUGGCGAAGGCGACUGACUGGACAGAUUGACGCUGAGGUGCGAAAGCGUGGGGAGCAAACAGGAUUAGAUACCCCUGUAGUC
rnacentral:rRNA from 1 species